rnacentral:rRNA from 1 species
CCUACGGGUGGCUGCAGUGGGGAAUUUUGGACAAUGGGGGAAACCCUGAUCCAGCAAUGCCGCGUGCAGGAUGAAGGCCUUCGGGUUGUAAACUGCUUUUGUACGGAACGAAAAGGCUCUGGUUAAUACCUGGGGCUCAUGACGGUACCGUAAGAAUAAGCACCGGCUAACUACGUGCCAGCAGCCGCGGUAAUACGUAGGGUGCGAGCGUUAAUCGGAAUUACUGGGGGUAAUACGUGAGCCAGCGGUGAAAUCCCCGGGCUCAACCUGGGAACUGCCUUUGUGACUGCAUAGCUAGAGUACGGCAGAGGGGGAUGGAAUUCCGCGUGUAGCAGUGAAAUGCGUAGAUAUGCGGAGGAACACCGAUGGCGAAGGCAAUCCCCUGGGCCUGUACUGACGCUCAUGCACGAAAGCGUGGGGAGCAAACAGGAUUAGAUACCCCUGUAGUC